UGGGGAAUAUUGCACAAUGGGGGAAACCCUGAUGCAGCGACGCCGCGUGAGCGAAGAAGGUUUUCGAAUCGUAAAGCUCUGUCCUAUGAGAAGAUAAUGACGGUAUCAUAGGAGGAAGCCCCGGCUAAAUACGUGCCAGCAGCCGCGGUAAUACGUAUGGGGCGAGCGUUGUCCGGAAUUAUUGGGCGUAAAGGGUACGUAGGCGGUCUAUUAAGUCAGGUGUGAAAGCGUGAGGCUUAACCUCAUUAAGCACUUGAAACUGAUAGACUUGAGUGAAGGAGAGGAAAGAGGAAUUCCUAGUGUAGCGGUGAAAUGCGUAGAUAUUAGGAGGAGUACCGGUGGCGAAGGCGACUUUCUGGACUUUUACUGACGCUCAGGUACGAAAGCGUGGGGAGCAAACAGG
rnacentral:rRNA from 1 species